UCUCUCUUCCUAGAGAUUUCUCCUUGGUGAAGCUUUCUCCUGUGAACCUAGAAUCUUUUGCUACAGGAAAUCCUUUCAACCCUCACCUUAAAGUCAAUAAUGCUGUUUCAAACGUCAUCUGCUCCAUCACCUUUGGCAAUUGGUUUGAGUACCAUGAUAAGGACUUCCAAAACUUGCUGCAGCUGAUGGAUGAGACUGCUACCUUCUAUGGGAAGAUAAUGAACCAGCCCAAUGGCAGUGACUUCUGUGAGGAUAACCUGGUGUCGUGCACUCUUGACCUGUUUUUUGCUGGGACUGAAACCACCUCUACAACCAUCCGCUGGGCCCUGCUGUUUAUGGCCAUAUAUCCAGAAAUUCAAGACACACACCUCUGCUAUGAUGAUCCUUGCCUUUCUAAUAUUCUAAUAGCAAGAGACAAAAGGGGCAAACUCAACAACAAGCACUGGAGAUGCCUGAAGGCAUUCUGGCAGACGUGACAGAUGCACUGCACAGAGCAGAGGGCCCACUUAAUGUGCAAGCACACAAAUGCCCUGGUAACACAUGAUUGACAUGGGAUGAUCCUUGAGGGUGCCUCACUUGGGGUUGCCCACUGCCAUAUUAGUGAACAGUAGACCCUUCCUUAGCAAUGACCAUGCAGCCACCUCAAAGCACCACCACCACCACCUCUUAGGCCUUUCUUCACAAACACAGGAGACUACAGAAAUGCUGGAGACCCCAGAAAUGCAUUCAGCAAGGUGAGAGCAGUGCUCGGUGCUGCUGGUAUCAUAUGGCUGAGGUCAACGGGCUUUGCCACCACCACAACAGGGUGUCCUGUCCUGGCCAGCAGCUUCCAGGGAGAGAAUGCUUUUAGCGUCCAGAGGAGGACCACAGAGAUGAUCAGGGGGCUGGAGCACCUCCCCUAUGAAGACAGGCUCAGGGAGCUGGGCUUAUUCAGCCUGGUGCAGAGAAGGCUGAGGGGUGACCUCUUUGCAGCCUUUCAGUACCUGAAAGGAGCCUAUAAACAAGAAGGGAGUAAACUCUUUGAAAAGGUGGAUAACAGCAGGAGAAGGGGGAACGGUUUUAAGUUGAAAAAGGGAAGAUUUAGGUUGGAUGUUAGGGGGAAGUUCUUUACCAGGAAAGUGGUGAGGUGCUGGAAUGGGCUGCCCAGAGAGGUUGUAGAUGCCCCAUCCCUGGAGGUGUUCAAGGCCAGGUUGGAUGGGGCCCUGGGCAGCCUGGUGUAGUAUUAAAUGGGGAGGCUGGUAGCCCUGCCUGGCAGGGGGGGGGUUGGAGAUUCAUGAUCCUCGAGUUCCCUUCCAACCCAGGCCAUUCUGUGAUCUCCAAUUUCCUGCCCAAGCAUCCCAUGCUUUCUCUGGUGCUUUGGCUUCAUUCCUUGGAGCCCAGCUGGGUACACAGGAAUUGCAUGUAAAGCACUGCUCAUCACAGCAGAGUAGGAUAAGAUGUGUGUGUAUACAUUUACUUGCAUGUGCCCUCACUGCAUCACCCAGAUGGGGGCAGACCAUGCUACAGCUCCUUGGGGGGGCUCAGCUGGGACAGCAGUACUGGUGCUGGGAAUGUAAGGUGGGCAAGGAGAUGUGGGCAGGGUGGUGUUCCUGCAGGAGGUGGGUGCCGAGGCUUUUCUAGCAGGGCUGAAUGGGUGCUGGGCAGCUGUCUCCGCAG